UCCCAUUACCACUUGAUGUCUCACAUCCUACUCCAAUGCCAUUAAUGCCUUUCAUGGUAGCUGAUAAUCCAAGUCGGUACUUCUUAAACUCGUAACUUCUUCUUUACAAGUUCAUGUGCUACCCCAUUCCCAGAUCUAAACACUUUUUUAAACUGGCAUUCUUUAAAUACUCUGCUUAAUGUUUUUAUGUCAUGUAUAUAUGAGCAUAUAACUGACCGAUCUUCUUUUGUUGUUUGGACCCGUCUAAUAAUACUGAGCGCAUCCCCUUCAAUUAUUACCCUUUAGAGCCCCAUUUCUACCCCAGUUGUACUACCUGCAAGUAACCUAUUGCCUCCGCCAUAAAGGGUAAAGGUAUUCGGUCGUUGGCUGUCAUUUUGACACCCAAAAUUUCUCCUUUUGAGUUUCUACAAAUUAUGUCCGUACCUGAUUUUUUCCUCUAUUUAUCAUAUAGCCCAUUAAAAUUUAUUUUGGCCAUAAGUCGGACUGGCGGUUUCCAGCGUUCAUCAUCACAUCUCUGCCCAGACUGCCCAUAUGCUUCCAAAAAGGAGUUGCUUUUGUGAGGCUGUCAUUAUGAUGAGUUGCUUCCCAAUUCAUGCUUGAAAAUUUUCAUUUGGUUUUUCGUUAGAUUCCCUAAACCCUAACUUUGACCAUAUCUCAUUUACUGUAGAACAAUCCCAAAUAGUGUGUUCUAGAGUCUCUGUGCCUCCCUACACCUUGAGCAUAAAGCCGAAUUACUGAUUCUUUUAUCAUGUAAAUUACCAAACAUAGGAAUAUAGUUAUUAUAGAUUCUUCAGUUUGUUAUUUUAAUUUUGCUAGGCAAAUCUGCCUGCCAUAGAUUAUUGUAAUAUUCUUUGCUUGUAUCUUCGUUGUUGUCUAUUUUUGGGUUUGUACUUCCCCUUAGUAGCCUCUUGUAUCCGCUUUUUAUUGUGUACUCCUCCGUUAGUUCUUCACUCCAAACUCUACUAUCUUCUCACAGAUACUUUACUAGAAGGAUAUGCAGUAUUGCACCUGCCUCAAUGUUAUUGAACAAUCUGGGACCCAGGCAUCCUACCAAAUUGAAAUGCAAUCACCAUUACUAACUCUCCAAGUCAUCCCAUCCUACAACAACUUUUUCAUUGCCCAUAUACUUCUCCAAGUAUACAAAAUGUAAUUUCCUAACUCUGCCCGCAUAAAAUCGGUGUUUGGAUAAUAUUUUGCCUUUAAGGCCUUUGCUAAUAAUGAGUAGGAAUUCUAUUAAUCACCAGUCUUGUUUUGUAAGAAGGGCCACAUUAAAUUCAGACAAACUUUGGAAACCCA